GGAUGAACGCUGGCGGCGUGCCUAAUACAUGCAAGUCGAGCGAACAGAUAAGGAGCUUGCUCCUUUGAAGUUAGCGGCGGACGGGUGAGUAACACGUGGGUAACCUACCUAUAAGACUGGGAUAACUUCGGGAAACCGGAGCUAAUACCGGAUAACAUUUAGAACCGCAUGGUUCUAAAGUGAAAGAUGGUUUUGCUAUCACUUAUAGAUGGACCCGCGCCGUAUUAGCUAGUUGGUAAGGUAACGGCUUACCAAGGCGACGAUACGUAGCCGACCUGAGAGGGUGAUCGGCCACACUGGAACUGAGACACGGUCCAGACUCCUACGGGAGGCAGCAGUAGGGAAUCUUCCGCAAUGGGCGAAAGCCUGACGGAGCAACGCCGCGUGAGUGAUGAAGGGUUUCGGCUCGUAAAACUCUGUUAUUAGGGAAGAACAAAUGUGUAAGUAACUGUGCACAUCUUGACGGUACCUAAUCAGAAAGCCACGGCUAACUACGUGCCAGCAGCCGCGGUAAU
rnacentral:rRNA from 1 species